rnacentral:rRNA from 1 species
AGCUUGCUAUUUUUAUGAAGAGCGGCGAACGGGUGAGUAACGCGUGGGAAAUCUGCCGAGUAGCGGGGGACAACGUUUGGAAACGAACGCUAAUACCGCAUAACAAUGAGAAUCGCAUGAUUCUUAUUUAAAAGAAGCAAUUGCUUCACUACUUGAUGAUCCCGCGUUGUAUUAGCUAGUUGGUAGUGUAAAGGACUACCAAGGCGAUGAUACAUAGCCGACCUGAGAGGGUGAUCGGCCACACUGGGACUGAGACACGGCCCAGACUCCUACGGGAGGCAGCAGUAGGGAAUCUUCGGCAAUGGGGGCAACCCUGACCGAGCAACGCCGCGUGAGUGAAGAAGGUUUUCGGAUCGUAAAACUCUGUUGUUAGAGAAGAACGUUAAGUAGAGUGGAAAAUUACUUAAGUGACGGUAUCUAACCAGAAAGGGACGGCUAACUACGUGCCAGCAGCCGCGGUAAUACGUAGGUCCCAAGCGUUGUCCGGAUUUAUUGGGCGUAAAGCGAGCGCAGGUGGUUUCUUAAGUCUGAUGUAAAAGGCAGUGGCUCAACCAUUGUGUGCAUUGGAAACUGGGAGACUUGAGUGCAGGAGAGGAGAGUGGAAUU